CAGAGAGAUGAGGUCAGAGUUGAUGUGGGACCAGCGCUUCCUGAGGAGCCGGUCUUUCCUGUUCUGUCUGAAACAACAAAAACAUCAUCAUCAUCAUCAUCAUCAUGGUGCUGGAAGAAGAUAAAUGCGAUGGUUGCCACGACGACCACUGUCACAGCCAGGACGCCCACGAUGAUGUCUUGGAUCGGAGGGCCAGUCAACAAGUCUAGUUUACCAUUCUUUGGCUUGUAGUCGGGAAGCUUCUUCCCCCAGAUGAAGGCCGGAGAUUCGUCCUCCAUCGUUGUUUUGGCGUUUUCAGUGUCAAAGCACUGAGUCGUGAUACGCAGCCAUGUAGUCGUUCAUCUGCAGGGAGGAACAGAAAUGAUGAUGAUGAUGAAGAUGAAGAGGACAGGAAGCGAUUCAGACUCACUAGCAAGAGCUUAAGAAAGGUCAGCGUUGAUGUCGUACUGCCUGGAGUUGGGCAUGGUCAGCACCAGAACGUUCCUCAUCUCCGGCCGCGACGGGCUCUUGUAGUAAAUAUCACUGAGUUAAGUAGGAAAAAUACAGUUACGUUCUGCAGAUCGUAGAUAUUUAACAGAUAAAUUCAAAUGCAAAUCCUUUAUGUAACGUAAUAAACAAAUUUAUCACAGAGAAAAGGCUGUAGUGUGAAGCGUUCUGGUGAAACGCCCUGUAGACUUUUUUACCAAUAAAUAUUUUCCUUCUUU